GUAGGGAAUUGCAGAGAAAAGACUAGAAAGAGACAUGGAAAGGAAUGUCUUAAAAGUUGAAAAGCACCUGUAAGUUGAAAAAUGUAAGCUGUGAUGUGGAAAGAUAAAGAAACUGGGUCUCUAAGAUCCAACCACAGAUACGCAAAACUGUGAUCUGCGAGUCUGUGGAUACCGAGGGCCACCUGUAUUUCUUUGAAGGGUUCAGAUGCUUCAAACACACGAUCUCAAUUAUCCUCUCAACAAACCUAUAAGGAAUAAAUCCUUGGCGGUUAUUUAUCAUUCCCACAUGAAGAUGGAAGGAUUGUUGUGCCAAGACAACACAGCUACACCGAGAUGCUUGAGGGCUCAGAGUGAGGGCUGAAUAUUUCCUCAAGAGGUGGCAGCAGGCUGAUUUUCCAGCUACAAACGACUCAAAAUCUCAUGGUGAGACGUCAGUCAUUUUACUAAACAGCACGGCACUUGUUAUGAUUUCCUUAAUUUCAGCACACGUCAUAGUAAGAUAUUAUGAGGCACUUAGCUUGGUCUUUGUUCUAGUCAGCCAAUCACUAGGCACAGAGCUGGCUGUUCAUUUGAAUACCCAACAUUAUAUAAGAGUACAGCUAGAAUGAUGGCAUAGGCAAUUGCAGGCGGGCAGGCAAGCAGGCAGGCAAGCAAGCAAUCUUAGUGUAUGAAACAAUGGCUGCUGCUACACGGAAGUCAGUGCGCAGGAGACCACUGCGCAGGAGACCAUUGCGCAGAAGACCACUGCGCAGAAGACCACUGCGCAGGUUCCAGACCAGACGGAGAAAGCGUACAGACCGAAAGAAACGUAUAAGAUAUGUGCACAGCUGUCAGAAACAGAAGCGCACUCUUAGGGUUAGCAGCAAGUUGCCAGCAAAGCUGCCAGCUCACAAAAUCCGAAUGACCAGAGAUGCUUGGGGCAUGUUGCACUCCUAUGUAGAUGGCAUCUACAGAAAAGUGUCUGGGGAAGCCGAACGUCUAAGGAGAAAAGACCGACGCUCCUCCAUAAUAUCCUCAGAUGUGCAAAGUGCCUUGAAACAAGUCAUACCAAGAAAAUACAAUAGGCGUGCUGCCUACAGCAAGACCCGUUAGAAAGCUAUCCUUCCUUUCUCUAUGACUGGCUUCAGAUUAAGAACAGAAGAGAAGGAGAAAGGAAUGGAAUAAACACCAGCCUGAGACAAACUGAGAAAUCUUCCACCUGCCUAAAGUUCAAACAUGGCCUUCAAAUUGCCAAGGAAUCCUGUAAACUAUCUUUUUUGUUUAAUCAACCUCACUACCAACUAUUAUCUGAAGAAGAAGAUCCAAGAAAGAAUGAAUCCGUCACUACGACAACACUGGCAUCAUAAUAAAAAUCAACCUUCUAUUGAGUCACAAAGGUAUUUUCUAUUAUGCAUGAAAGUGACUAUCAAGCUAUGAAGUGCAAGAGACUUUUCAUCUUUGUGAAUCUGAGCCAGUGGAAAGAGAACACAGAUCAACCAUACUAAGACAUGAAAGGAGUGUGUGAGGCAUUUACUGGAGGGAACUGUAUUACCUUUUCCUUACAAUAAAACAGGAUUAGCAGGA